CUGGCUCUGGGUCACUCACAUUCUUCCUCAUGUCCUCCCUCCAGACGCGAUGUCCGGCAAAGGCUCCGUGGUUCUGGCCUACAGCGGGGGCCUGGACACCUCCUGCAUCCUCGUGUGGCUGAAGGAGCAGGGCUAUGACGUCAUCGCCUACCUGGCCAACGUAGGCCAGAAGGAAGACUUUGAGGAAGCCCGGAAGAAGGCGCUGAAGCUUGGGGCUAGAAAGGUGUUCAUCGAGGACGUCAGCAAGGAGUUUGUGGAGGAGUUCGUCUGGCCCGCCAUCCAGUCCAGCGCGCUGUAUGAGGACCGCUACCUCCUGGGUACCUCUCUUGCCAGGCCCUGCAUUGCCCGCAAACAGGUGGAGAUCGCCCAGAAGGAGGGAGCCAAGUACGUGUCACACGGCGCCACAGGAAAGGGGAACGACCAGAUCCGGUUUGAGCUCACCUGCUACUCACUGGCCCCCGAGAUUAAGGUCAUCGCUCCCUGGAGGAUGCCCGAGUUCUACAACCGGUUCCAGGGCCGCAACGAUCUGAUGGAGUACGCGAAGCGACAUGGAAUUCCCGUCCCAGUCACCCCCAAGAACCCGUGGAGCAUGGACGAGAAUCUGAUGCACAUCAGCUACGAGGCUGGAAUCCUGGAGAACCCCAAGAACCAAGCGCCUCCAGGCCUCUACACAAAGACCCAGGACCCGGCCAAAGCCCCCAACAGCCCAGACAUCCUUGAGAUUGAGUUCAAGAAAGGGGUCCCUGUGAAGGUGACCAACGUCAGGGACGGCACCACCCACAGCACGGCCUUGGAGCUCUUCCUGUACCUGAAUGAAGUCGCGGGCAAGCACGGUGUGGGCCGCAUCGACAUCGUGGAGAACCGCUUCAUCGGCAUGAAGUCGCGGGGUAUCUACGAGACCCCAGCGGGGACGGUCCUUUACCACGCUCAUUUAGACAUCGAGGCCUUCACCAUGGAUCGGGAAGUGCGGAAAAUCAAACAAGGCCUGGGCUUGAAAUUCGCCGAGCUGGUGUACGCGGGCUUCUGGCACAGCCCUGAGUGUGAAUUUGUCCGCCACUGCAUCGCCGAGUCCCAGGAGCACGUGGAAGGGAAAGUGCGGGUAUCCGUCUUCAAGGGCCAGGUGUACAUCCUCAGCCGGGAGUCCCCACUGUCCCUCUACAACGAGGAGCUGGUGAGCCCUUGAGUGACAGCGUCACAGGGACCAGCGAGGAAACCGCGAGAGGUAGCAGAACUGGAAAUGCCGCGGCACAGGAGCUCGCUAGUCGAUUCCUGGUGGCUUCAGCCACCUGAGCCCUGGAGGGGCGGAUGGAGGUGAAAAGGAGGGAGCAUUGAGAGCGUGGGAGUUCCAGCUUCAAGGUCCCCUGGAGCAUGAAUGUGCAGGGACAGUACGAGCCAGUUGACGCCACUGGUUUCAUCAACAUCAACUCCCUCAGGCUGAAGGAGUAUCAUCGCCUCCAGAGCAAGGUCACCGGCAAAUAAACCGGCUGAUAGUGGGGAGCUGGGCCUCCUCGCUUUGCCCAUCUCCCAAGUGCAGCCGCUAAUUGUUGUGAUAAUUUGUAGUUGUGACUUGUCCUCCAGGGCUGGCAGUGCAGUGCGGGUGCCAGGCCCCGGCUUUGUUCCCUGGUCCCCUGGAGCCUGCAGAAGUGGUCAGCAAACGGACGGGGUGGGGGCCGGCUGCAGGCAGGAGCUGUAAUAUGACGAUUAAAAAAAAUGAUACAUUG